rnacentral:tRNA from 1 species
GCCGGAGUGGUGGAACUGGUAGACGCAGAGGACUCAAAAUCCUCCGCCCAUCAAAGGGCAUGAGAGUUCAAGUCUCUCCUCCGGCA